rnacentral:rRNA from 1 species
AUGAACGCUGGCGGCGUGCCUAAUACAUGCAAGUCGAGCGAACAGACGAGGAGCUUGCUCCUCUGACGUUAGCGGCGGACGGGUGAGUAACACGUGGAUAACCUACCUAUAAGACUGGGAUAACUUCGGGAAACCGGAGCUAAUACCGGAUAAUAUAUUGAACCGCAUGGUUCAAUAGUGAAAGACGGUUUUGCUGUCACUUAUAGAUGGAUCCGCGCCGCAUUAGCUAGUUGGUAAGGUAACGGCUUACCUAGGCAACGAUGCGUAGCCGACCUGAGAGGGUGAUCGGCCACACUGGAACUGAGACACGGUCCAGACUCCUACGGGAGGCAGCAGUAGGGAAUCUUCCGCAAUGGGCGAAAGCCUGACGGAGCAACGCCGCGUGAGUGAUGAAGGUCUUCGGAUCGUAAAACUCUGUUAUUAGGGAAGAACAAAUGUGUAAGUAACUAUGCACGUCUUGACGGUACCUAAUCAGAAAGCCACGGCUAACUACGUG